GAUGAAGAACGUAGUGAAAUGCGAUAAGUAAUGUGAAUUGCAGAAUUCAGUGAAUCAUCGAAUCUUUGAACGCACAUUGCGCCCGCCAGUAUUCUGGCGGGCAUGCCUGUUCGAGCGUCAUUUCAACCAUCAAGCCCCCGGGCUUGUGUUGGGGACCUGCGGCUGCCCGCAGGCCCUGAAAACCAGUGGCGGGCUCGCUGUCACACCGAGCGUAGUAGCAUCAUCUCGCUCAGGGCGUGCUGCGGGUUCCGGCCGUUAAAAAGCCUCUAAUACCCAAGGUUGACCUCGGAUCAGGUAGGAAGACCCGCUGAACUUAAGCAUAUCAAUAAGCGGAGGA
rnacentral:misc_RNA from 1 species